rnacentral:rRNA from 1 species
CCUACGGGCGGCAGCAGUGGGGAAUAUUGCACAAUGGGGGAAACCCUGAUGCAGCGACGCCGCGUGCGUGAAGAAGUAUCUCGGUACGUAAAGCUCUAUCAGCAGGGAAGAAAAUGACGGUACCUGACUAAGAAGCCCCGGCUAACUACGUGCCAGCAGCCGCGGUAAUACGUAGGGGGCAAGCGUUAUCCGGAUUUACUGGGUGUAAAGGGAGCGUAGACGGCAGCACAAGUCUGGAGUGAAAUCCCGGGGCUUAACCCCGGAACUGCGUUGGAAACUGGGCGGCUGGAGUGCAGGAGGGGUAGGCGGAAUUCGUAGUGUAGCGGUGAAAUGCGUAGAUAUUAGGAGGAACACCGGUGGCGAAGGCGGCUUACUGGAGUGUAACUGACGUUGAGGCUCGAAAGCGUGGGGAGCAAACAGGAUUAGAUACCCGGGUAGUC